GUAAAAACAAAAAAUUUAUUAAUAUAGGAGGUGGAACUUACUUUGAGGAUUUUGGAAUUUUAACAUGGGCAGACAAUUUGGGAAAACAUCAGGAAGUAUUUGCUAUUGCAGUCUUAGAAAAUAAACAUAUUAUUCAUAAAACAGGUUAUACAUCACGGAAGUGGUUUUCAAACGGUGAUUUUUCUGUCAUACGUUUUAAUAUGGAGGCGUCACCACACAAAGCUUUGCUUGGCUGUGGAUCAUCUCUUAACUCUGUUAAGAAAAUUCGUUUUAAAAUGUAUGAUGGAACCAUACCAAGAACCUGGCCCAAUAAGCAGAAAAAACUGUUCCCUAAAAAUGAGUUUCUCAUCUCUGUGCAAUGUCAGCGCACUGACCGUGGAUGUCCCAUCCUUUCUAAACAAGAUGGGAAGCUUAUAGGCAUUUUGUGUAGGAAGGAGGGGAAAUAUGGGCGGUGUGUGAAUUUAAUGUUUCCCAACUUUCUCACCACAGUUUUUAGAGAUCUGUUUUGAAUUCCACUUACCUAUAAAUGAUAUCUACCGUAUCCUAUCUAUAUCUUUAUCUAUAUCUAUCUAUCUAUAUUGCAUUCUAGUAAAUAUAUUCUAAACUUAUUUGGGAACCUUUCCACUCCAUUGGUGUAUUUCUCCCAGGGAGAAUGUUGUGUUAGCUUCCAGAAGCUGGAGCCAUCUCAAGAGGUGAUCUAAAGGCAGCUCUAAAGGAGGAUCUGAAUGAGACCAUGCCACCAUGGGGCCAGGCUGAGCAUCAGAGCAUCUCGUUUUGACAGCCAGGUCAGCCACAUCACUCACAGCUCAUUCCAUCUGGAUCCUGGAUCAUCCUAAUGUG